rnacentral:rRNA from 1 species
AUACGGAGGAUCCGAGCGUUAUCCGGAUUUAUUGGGUUUAAAGGGAGCGUAGGCGGGAGAUCAAGUCAGCUGUGAAAUGUAGAUGCUCAACAUCUGCACUGCAGUUGAAACUGGUUUUCUUGAGUGCGUAAGGGGCAGGCGGAAUUCGUCGUGUAGCGGUGAAAUGCUUAGAUAUGACGAAGAACUCCGAUCGCGAAGGCGGCCUGCCGGGCCGCGACUGACGCUGAAGCUCGAAGGUGCGGGUAUCGAACAGGAUUAGAUACCCUGGUAGUCCGCACAGUAAACGAUGGAUACUCGCUGUCGGCGAUAUACGGUCGGUGGCCAAGCGAAAGCGUUAAGUAUCCCACCUGGGGAGUACGCCGGCAACGGUGAAACUCAAAUGAAUUGACGGGG